rnacentral:rRNA from 1 species
GACUCUCGGCAACGGAUAUCUCGGCUCACGCAUCGAUGAAGAACGUAGCAAAAUGCGAUACUUGGUGUGAAUUGCAGAAUCCCGUGAACCAUCGAGUUUUUGAACGCAAGUUGCGCCCGAAGCCAUCUGGUUGAGGGCACGUCUGCCUGGGCGUCACGC